GGAAUGGGGUACUGAGGACUUGCUCUUAGAACUCCUCCAAACGGAAAGGAAAAAAAGCGGGUACCCGUAAGUAACACGUGAGUAAUCUGCCCUUCACUUUGGGAUAACUGCCUGAAAGGGUGGCUAAUACCGGGUAUUCUCCUUGCACCGCAUGGUGUGGGGUGGGAAGUUUUUUCGGUGGGGGAUGUGCUCGCGGCCUAUCAGCUUGUUGGUGGGGUAAUGGCCUACCAAGGCUUUGACGGGUAGCCGGCCUGAGAGGGUGACCGGCCACACUGGGACUGAGACACGGCCCAGACUCCUACGGGAGGCAGCAGUGGGGAAUAUUGGACAAUGGGCGGAAGCCUGAUCCAGCAACGCCGCGUGAGGGAUGACGGCCUUCGGGUUGUAAACCUCUUUCAGCACAGACGAAGCGCCUGUGAAGGUGGUGACGGUAUGUGCAGAAGAAGCACCGGCCAACUACGUGCCAGCAGCCGCGGUAAUACGUAGGGUGCGAGCGUUGUCCGGAAUUAUUGGGCGUAAAGGGCUCGUAGGCGGUUUGUCGCGUCGGGAGUGAAAUCCACUGGCUUAACUGGUGGCUUGCUUUCGAUACGGGCAGACUGGAGGUAUGCAGGGGAGAACGGAAUUCCUGGUGUAGCGGUGAAAUGCGCAGA
rnacentral:rRNA from 1 species